AUUGAACGCUGGCGGCAGGCCUAACACAUGCAAGUCGAACGAGCGGCGGACGGGGGAGUAAUGUAUGGGGACUUCCCGAUAGAGGGGGAUAACAACUGGAAACGGUAGCUAAUACCGCAUACUAUCGGAUAACCCAUAUGGGAUUAGCUAGUAGGUGAGGUAAUGGCGCACCUAGGCGCCGAUCCCUCGCUGGUCUGAGAGGAUGAUCAGCCACACUGGGAGUGAGACACGGCCCAGAAUCCUACGGAGGCAGCAGUGGGGAAUAUUGCACAAUGGGCGCAAGCCUGAUGAAGCCAUGCCGCGUGUAUGAAGAAGGCCCUAGGGUUGUAAAGUACUUUCAGUCGGGAGGCGUUACCGACAGAAGAAGCACCGGCUAACUCCGUGCCAGCCGCCGCGGUAAUUC
rnacentral:rRNA from 1 species